rnacentral:lncRNA from 1 species
ACGUGGAUGCGGCCUGGGCAGGGUCUGGAGUGAGGAGCCUGUCGGGGACGACGACUGGUGCAGAGAUGGAUGGAGUCAGCCGCGUCCCUCAGCUCCCUGGUCGGCUCCUCUUGUUUGCAUUUUUAAGCUUGUGGUUUUACCUGUGUGUAAUAAAAAACGGCCGCGGUCUGUGGGGCGAGGAUCCUCAGUUCACCUGCUGCCCCCAGUGCCACUCCUUCUGGGAGGACAGCGCCAUCUGGAGCCUGCUGGGAGCGUCGCUGCUGGAUGGAGCUAGGGAGGAGCCUGCCCGGAGGCCGCCCUGCCUGGACCUGCUCACCAGUCAGUCCAGAGAGGAACAUCCAUGAGCCAAGAGCCCUCUUAACGCUGCUAAGCCCAGGGGUACAAAUGAGGGUGACAUCUUUGAAGAAAGCUGGUUUGGGUUUUCAAAAACCCAAGUCUUUUUUUUUUUUUUAAUUAACUAACGGAACGUGUUCCGACUGGAGAUGUGGUCCUUCGCACCUCUCGUCACAGCUGGGACGUGGGGCUGGCUCCCUGUUUCUGUUUUUGUUAGGUUUUCUGUUUUUGUUUGUUUCUUCUCCAAAUACAACUUUCCUAAUGCUAGCCCCCUGUGGUGCUAGGUGAGUGUUGACCAGGCCCAAGCGAAGUCACAGUAGACCUGGGAUCUAAAGUUUUCUGUUUUGAAGUUGUUUUUUUUUUUCCUUUAAUAUUUUGGAUGGAAUCUAGUUGCCUCCAAGAAUUGUGCCUUAUAGCAUUUGGGGACCAGGGGAUAACUUCCCCUUCCUGAGAUAUCCCUCAGCUGCUUCCCUUUAUACCCAUGCCAUGUUGAAAGCCACUGGGGCAUGUGGGCUCCUGCCCUGUGCCCUGGCUCGUUGUGCACUGCAGUGGUUAAGAGGGAAGUGGGUAAACGGUGUUUCUUAAGAUAGUGUAUCAAGCUCUUCCCGCCACCCUCUUUCCCACCCCUGGUCUGCUCCCAGCUGUUUGAAGGACAGCACAGGCCCCUUGUCCCUCAAGCCCCCCCUUUAAUUUAUUCUCUUCUUAAUACCCUUAUUCCCCAAGCUUCCUGCCACCCAUCCCUUUCUCAGAGUCUCUUAGACAAAGGCCCUCUGGACUGAGCUUCUCAGGGACACCCACGACACCCCUUACCCGCUCUAGGCAUCAGUCUUUGGUCCUGCCCUGGGAGUGUGAGCCUGGUGCCUGGGGAUGUCUCAUAAUUCUUUGCCGUGGGCUUGAUUUCGCCCUGACAUUAGACAAAAAAAAAAAAAAAAAAACUCCAUGCUGUCCCAAGAGUCAGGCUACUCAGCACUACGGCAUUUUGCACAGUGCAUUUUGCACACCCACUGGUGGGCCUGGCUUAUGCCCUCAGAACCUGGAGUGCUUGAGUGUCCCAGGUCAAGGCACCCUAGAAAAGACACCCCGAGUUUGCCUGGCCUGAUCCCCUUCUCUAGGGAAGACCUGUGACGUGAGCCCAAGGGCUGGUGUACACUUGUUUACUAUGUAAGCAAGAGUAGAAUGUCUAGUUACAGUGGAGCCUUGUACAGAAUAAAUAGUAGCUUUGAGAAGGAA